CCCCUAGACGUUCUGGGCUGCACGCGCGCUACAAUAAUACGCACAGCGAGUAUCACCGAGCUCGAAAGGGCAAGGUAAACAAUAGAAAAGGUACUGUAAUGGUUAUAGAUCCUUGUAAUUAUUGAUCUUCAACGAGGAAUUCCUAGUAAGUAUGUGUCAUCAUCACGCACUGAUUACGUCCCUGCCCUUUGUAUACACCGCCCGUCGCUCCUACCGAUUGGGUGAGCCGAUGAAACUCUCGGAUGUAGGCUAUUCAUAGCCCGCAGAAGAGAUUUGAAUCGUAGCGCUUAGAGGAAGGAGAAGUCGUAACA
rnacentral:rRNA from 1 species